rnacentral:rRNA from 1 species
UACAUGGGGUGCAAACGUUGCUCGGAAUUAUUGGGCGUAAAGCGCACGUAGGCGGUUCGUUAAGUCGGAUGUGAAAGCCCUCGGCUCAACUGAGGAAGUGCACCCGAAACUGGCGAGCUUGAGUACGAAAGAGGAUCGCGGAAUUCCCGGUAUAGAGGUGAAAUUCGUAGAUAUCGGGAGGAACACCGGUGGCGAAGGCGGCGAUCUGGGUCGAUACUGACGCUGAGGUGCGAAAGCGUGGGGAGCAAACAGG